UAACUGCUGUUUGAACGCUGUACUGUAGAAGGCACAGACUGAGAUGCUGGAUCAACUGCGCAUGCCUGUCUUUGUGACCGGCUGCUAUCGAUCCUUCCGAGCCCGUGUGCCACGCUGGAAAGCUGCAUCUAAGAGUUAAGAUUUACUGGCUUAAAAGCGUGUGUGUCGUGGGAUUGCGCGGUGGCUCAGUAAGUAAGUGCUUGCCUUGCACACACAAAGACCUAACUGUUCAAUGUGCAGCUCCUAUGUUUAAAAAUCUAGUUGAGCAUUGUGGCACACACUUAUAAUCUCAGCUCUAAAGAAGCAAAGACCGUGGCUCCCUGGGGCUCACUGGUAGCCAGCAGCCAAACUGGUGAGUUGCAGGUAAAAGUGAGAGUUUUUUUUUUUUUUCUCACAAAACAUGAUGGAUUAUGAGGAACUACAGUUGAGAUUGUCCUCUGGUCUCCACAGACACAUAUGUACUCAUACCUAUACAUAGUCAUGCACCUGCAAACACACACACACACACACACACACACACACACACACACACACACACACUCACACACACACACUCACACACACACUCACAUACACUCACAUAUACACUCACAUACACACACACUAACAUAUACACACACUCACACACACUCACAUACACACACUCACAUACACACACACACUCACACAUACUCACACACACUCACACACACACACUCACAUACACACACUCACACACACACACUCACACACACACUCACAUACACACACUCACAUACACACACACACCAACAUACACACACACUCACACACACUCACAUACACACACACACACACACUCACAUACACACACUCACGUGCAUGCACACAGGUCAUUGUGAGAAUUCAAUGUGAACAUCUUUGAAAUGCAGUUUCAAAUCUCCCACACGCUGACAAGAGCCACGUGAACCAUUGUGCAGCACUGCACCCAUUUGACAGAUGAGAGCAUGGAUACCUAACCGGAGCCUGGCAGGUCUUGGACAGCAGAGGCCACCCUGCAUCUGACACCAUCUCUUGUAAUCCAUGACUUCUCUUCCUGCCUCCAUGAAUCUCCAGAUAACAGAUUCCUGCCCUCCUAAAAGAUGGGUAUGUUUACACACUUCUAUUGAAAGUUGAUGCUCACAUAGAAUCAUAGUCAGGCAUUGUAGUGGGCCCAGAAAGGCAGGCAAGGCACAUGCAGGUUUCUCUAGGUUGGUAGCCAUGACGCUUGGGCUUUUCCGGUGUCCUUGACUAGAUCAUUUCCCUCACACCCCAAAAUAAUUUGAGCAGAUGUUUCAUCUCUAUGCAACUAGUCUUAGUGCUACCAUCACCAGCUUUCUUCUGUGGUUUCUCUUGGUCUUUCCUUCUUAACUCUACAAGACCACACCACAUAUUCCUUUCUCCUCACCAGGACAUGGCAGAGUGUCUGUAGUGUUUGGAGGAUUAUGAAAUACAAGGCUUCACAGAAACCCAAGGCCCACAGAUCCUCCAAGCUGUAGCUGAUUGCGCUGGUGCUUUCGUCCAUUUCCGUCCUUUUAUCCUCAUUCACUGAGAGGGAACUGCGGGGGUGGAGGGUGGGGGGAGUGGGGAGGGGGUGUAAGGCUUUGCCUUAGCAGCGUUUGACCACGUGACUUGCUUAGGCCAAUGGACAGAGAGUGGAUCUGGCAGACGCCAUGUCUGGGCACUUCUCGGCGUAGUUACAUGGGUGUUUUCUACUUUUUUUUUCCUCCCUGGGGAAAACACAAGGUGAUCCCUCAAGACAAGACAAACACCAAAGGGCAGUGUUGGACUGCAGGGGGGACCAGGAGACCUUACUGACUCGUCGGCAAUAAAGUUUGUGUGGUAGGCUUUGAUGACUACUAUGGGCAUCCUCUGUAUGUGUGUGUGGGGGGCGGGGGGAUGUUACUCUGCUUUCAGGGGAGUCUCUGACUUCUUUUUUAUAACUUGUGGUGAAUGGAGCCAGGUCUUCUUGACCCGAUACUGAGGGAUAAAGAGGGACAAAGGAGCUCCAGGAGAUGGCAGAGCGAAGCCAGGGUUCUUGGGAGUCAAGAGAGAUCUUGGGGUAUUGUUCUGGUUGUGGGGAGGAGAGGAUGGUCACUUCUAUCCCAAUGCUUUGCCCCACUGCUGUUGGUGUCCAUGUGGACCCCAGCCAUGCCCAGAAGGAUCCCAAGAAUGAUGACGAUCCAGAGACAGGGGACAAAAGGGAAUUAGGAACGCAGGCCAGGGACAGUUACUAGCAUUGCCUGCAGAGCCUAGGAGUCUACUCAGAGA
rnacentral:lncRNA from 1 species